GUUCGAAAAAGGCAAACCCUGAGUGAUCGGGGGGCGCAAAGGAAAGGGUCUUGAAAUUAUACAGGGAAGUAUGCAAGGAUUAUAAUUCUGGUCUUGAUAGAUAAACCAUACUCUAUCAGGUAACGAAAGUUAAAGUCCUUUAGAUGCACUAAGCAAUUUUCUCAAGAUAGCCUUACUGCCGAA
rnacentral:ncRNA from 1 species